GACGAACGCUGGCGGCGUGCUUAACACAUGCAAGUCGAACGGAAAGGCCCUGCUUUUGUGGGGUGCUCGAGUGGCGAACGGGUGAGUAACACGUGAGUAACCUGCCCUUGACUUUGGGAUAACUUCAGGAAACUGGGGCUAAUACCGGAUAGGAGCUCCUGCUGCAUGGUGGGGGUUGGAAAGUUUCGGCGGUUGGGGAUGGACUCGCGGCUUAUCAGCUUGUUGGUGGGGUAGUGGCUUACCAAGGGAUUGACGGGUCGCCGGCCUGAGAGGGUGACCGGCCACAUUGGGACUGAGAGACGGCCCAGACUCCUACGGGGGGCAGCAGGGGGGAAUAUUGCACAAUGGGCGGAAGCCUGAUGCAGCAACGCCGCGUGCGGGAUGACGGCCUUCGGGUUGUAAACCGCUUUCGCCUGUGACGAAGCGUGAGUGACGGUAAUGGGUAAAGAAGCACCGGCUAACUACGUG
rnacentral:rRNA from 1 species